AUUGAACGCUGGCGGCAGGCCUAACACAUGCAAGUCGAGCGGAUGAAGGGUGCUUGCUUCUGGUUUCAGCGGCGCACGGGUGUGUAAUGCCUAUGAAUCUCCCUGGUUGUGGUGUAUAACGUCUUGAAACGGGCGCUACUACCGCAUACUUCCUGCUGCUGCUAGUGGGGGAUCUUCGGACCUCAUGCUCUCAUAUGAGCCUAGGUCGGAUUAGCUAGCUGGUGGGUUAAAGGCCUACCAAGGCGACGAUCCGUAACUGGACUGAGAGGAGGAUAAGUCACACUGGAACGGAGACACGGUCAAGACGCCUAAGGGAGGGAGCAGAGGGGAAUAGGAGACAAUGGGCGAAAGCAUGAUCCAGCGAGGGCGCGUGUGUGAAGAAGGUCUUCGGAGUGUAAAGAACGUUAAGGGGGGAGGAAGGGCAGUAAGUUAAGACCUAGCGGGUGUGACGGUAACAACAGAAGAAGCACCGGCUAACUACGUG
rnacentral:rRNA from 1 species